UUUCUUUCUUCCUCUCAAGGCUCAUUUAAUUUUUCUUUUUGCUCUUCUCAUGUCUUUCAAAUUCAGAGGGCCAAAUGCUUCUUCUGGAAUGGGUGUGGCUGAUCACGGCAAAAAUGCAUUCUUGGAGUUGAAGAGGAAGAAAGUUCAUAGAUACGUGAUUUUCAAAAUCGAUGAAAA